UUGUCAUUGAAAAUUGCAAGACCGAGUCGAUGUUAGCUGAUCCUCUAACCAAAGGGUUAAGUGCCGUGCUGUUUAAUAAACAUGUUGUUAAUAUGGGCAUUUUAGAAUCUUUUGAUCUUUUGGGUUAGUGGGAGUUUUGUUUUCUGUUUGUUUUUAGAAAUUAUUAUUUAUAAUUUUCUGAAUAAAGUUAUGAACUACAUUUUAUGUUUCAAUAUUUUUUAUUAUUGAAUGGAUAUGUUUUCAAUUAUGUUUUGUUAUAUUCUCGAGAAUGAUUGAAUUGAAAGCAUGUGGUUCAUAUUGUUGUGAUCAUUGUCUUUUAAAUUUAUUUGCUUAUUGACAAUGAUAUGUUGUUGGCUUAAUUCUUUAAGCAAGUUUAGUGACACUUACUUAUUUUAAGUGGUGUAUGUUUAAUUUCACUGGCUUAUUUAUUAAGCAUCACGGUAUCAGUGAAAUUGAGGACUGAUAAGGAUAUUAUGUUAUUUUAAAUUGAUCACAUGUUGAACAUAAUUCCUUACCACACUACUAGACUUAUUGACCAUGUCGAUUUAAUACUUUGGUAUUUGUGAUUAUGAAUGUCUUUUGUUGAGCUAAAAACAAUAUGACUGUCAUAGUUCAUUAUCAAAGGUUAAAUUGGACCGGUAUGUUGAGAUGCUAUCAGAGAACUAUCAGUUUUAAAGUGGCCACAAAUGUUUUCUUGUUGUUCAACCCAUGAGUCGUUUUCAAACAAAAUUAUUUUGAUAUAUAAUAUAUAUGUAUUAAAAUCAAUGUAGCCCAAGUGGGAGAAUGUUAGACUUUUAUUUGGGCUUACAUUAUAUUUUAUUGGUUUUAUUAAAACUUGGGUUGAUUGGAUAGUUCUUUGCUGUGUUAGCCCAUGUUGUUGGUGAUCAAUUGUUAAUGGGCUUAGCAUCUGUGAGUAAAGUCUAGGUGAAGCAGAAGUGUGGGCUUUUCUAGUUGACUGAAGCCUUUGAUUAGCAGGCCCACCCCAACUAGGGUUUUGUAGCUAAGUCCCCUCCCUAACUCUAUAAAUACAUAUUGUCUCAUCACAAUUGAAUACCUUUUGAUAAUCAGAGAAAAUAAACUGCUUCUGAUUUAGAGAUAUAGGGAGGAAGACUUAGUUGAUAGUAUUGCACUAUCAAAUUGGAGUAACUGCUGUGGAUCAAUCAGAGAUAAUUGCUAUGGAUCAAUCAGAGAUAAUGAAUAUUGAUGCAAACGAAGUGGAAGAAAAUAUUAAAAAUCAAGAGAAUAAAGAUCAAGAAGCUACAAUCGACCAUGCCAUAAAAAUUAAAUAGAUUCAUUCUAACAUUCCUGAUGAAGAGAUACCAAAGGUUAGUAUGAAAUUUGAAACCGAAGAACAAGCUUACAAUUUUUAUAAUGUUUAUGCUUAUAAAGUUGGUUUUAGCAUUCGAAGAAGCAAAAGUCAUAAGGAUAAUGAAGAUGGAAAAAUUAAAAAAAAAAAUAGAACAUUUUGUUGCUCAUGUGAAGGCUUUCGCGAAAAAGAUAGACGAUAUGAUAAUGUAAAAUGUCAUCGUGCUGCAACAAGGUUUGGUUGUUUGGCGAGGAUGAAGAUAAAACUUCAUCAAUUCGGAAAAUAUCACGUUGUUGAAUUCAUACACAUGUGACUUCAAGCCCUAGUAAGAGUCAUACAUAGGUCUCAAAGAAGAAUAACUCCUGCUCAAGCAUCUGAAAUUGAAUUGCCAGAGAAUUCAGGAAUUGCUCCUAAAGCCAGUAUGGAACUAAUGAUGAGGCGAGCCGGUGGACAUGAAAAUCUUAGAUUUAUUUUGGAAGAUUGUCGGAAUUAUAUACGCACCAAAAGAACAAUUCAAAUGCGCGUAGGAGAUACAGGUGGUGUUCUUGAAUAUCUUCAAAAGAUGAAGUCAAAAGAUUCUAAUUUCUUUUAUGCAAUGCAAGCAGACACAGAUGAUUUAUUAACAAAUAUCACAACUUUGGUGAUGUUGUUAGAUUUGACACAACCUACCGAAAAAAUUAUGAUUGUCAACCUUUUGCUAUGUUUGUUAGGGUAAAUAAUCAUAAACAAACAACUGUAUUUGGGGCUGCAUUGUUAUAUGAUGAAACUGCUGAGACGUUUAUGUGGUUAUUUGAUACUUUUAUAGAAGCAAUGUUUGGAAAAAAACCAAAAACUAUUCUUACCGAUCAAGAUGCAGCAAUGGCAAAAGCAUUAAGAUCCCAAUGGUCAGAAACUUGUCAUCGCUUAUGUAUUUGGCAUAUGUAUCAGAAUGCAGAGUAGUGUUUUUGAAAGAUUUCGUGAGUUUGCAACUGAUUUUGGAAAUUGCAUUUAUGAAUAUGAUGUUGGGUUUUAUGCCCUAAAUAAAACUCAUUUCAAUAUAAUCAGAUUUACUUAUUAAUA